rnacentral:rRNA from 1 species
AGAGUUUGAUCCUGGCUCAGAAUCAACGCUGGCGGCGUGCCUCAGACAUGCAAGUCGAACGCGAAAGGCCCCUUCGGGGGCCGAGUAGAGUGGCGCACGGGUGAGUAACACGUAGGUAAUCUACCUCUGGGUGGGGAAUAACGACCGGAAACGGUCGCUAAUACCGCAUAAUGCAGCGGCACCACAUGGUGACAGUUGUUAAAGCGGGGGAUCGUAAGACCUCGCGCCUAGAGAUGAGCCUGCGGCGGAUUAGCUAGUUGGCAGGGUAACGGCCUACCAAGGCGACGAUCCGUAGCCGGCCUGAGAGGGCGGACGGCCACACUGGCACUGACAUACGGGCCAGACUCCUACGGGAGGCAGCAGUCGGGAAUUUUGGGCAAUGGGCGAAAGCCUGACCCAGCAACGCCGCGUGAAGGAUGAAGCUUUU